rnacentral:misc_RNA from 1 species
GACUACUCAGGCGCGACAUCCGACGUCGGAACGCCGUACGGACAAGGCGUCGCCGACGCAUACGCCUGGAUCAACAAGAACGGCGGCAUCGGCGGAAAGCCGGUGAAGAUCGACACCGUCGAUUACGGCUNNNNNNNGUACAAGAAGUGGUCGGGCGGCGAAAAGGUCGCAGCGAUCAUCGGAUGGGGCACGGCCGAUAC